rnacentral:rRNA from 1 species
CAGCAGUAGCCGCGGUAAUACGGAGGGUGCAAGCGUUAUCCGGAUUUAUUGGGUUUAAAGGGUCCGUAGGCGGACUUAUAAGUCAGUGGUGAAAGCCUGUCGCUUAACGAUAGAACUGCCAUUGAUACUGUAAGUCUUGAGUAUAUUUGAGGUAGCUGGAAUAAGUAGUGUAGCGGUGAAAUGCAUAGAUAUUACUUAGAACACCAAUUGCGAAGGCAGGUUACCAAGAUAUAACUGACGCUGAGGGACGAAAGCGUGGGUAGCGAACAGGAUUAGAUACCCCAGUAGUCCCUGUCUCUUAUAC